rnacentral:misc_RNA from 1 species
AGCCAUCUUGUACUCUACUAUUGCCAAUCGUUCUCUCUGUUUUCAAUUUCUGAAAUAUAAAUGGGCAUGAAAAUAAAUUUAAUUCUGCAGUUAAGGGCUUUAGUAAUAGAGUUAAUGGACAAAAAGUUUAAUAGGAAAACUAGGCACAAGUAAAACUGAAGUGAGAUUUAUAGUGGGAGUACAUUCAGCAGAACCUGUUCCAGACAUAUUGGAUAAGGAUCCGUCCAUUAUGCAGCCUUUUUCUUUUUUUGAACAUGGGGAAUAGGUUGUGA